UAUCUAUACAUUUUUUUCCACUCUAAUGACGCACCUGAAAUGAGAUCUUGUUAAUAUUCCAGAUAUGUAAGAUUCAGAUUGCAGUUGGGAUUUAUGAAACUCCACAGAUUGAAUACGUUUGGACCACAGCAGUAUCACAUUCGCUGUGAGGGUAGACAUCCGAAACUUUACCAGAAGACAACGAACGUGGAAACAGAGUGAAAACAUACCUCUCCGACGAACUGGUACAGGACUGGCUAUUAGAUGAAACACUGCAUAAUUCGCCAGCGCAUCUUUGGUGGUGAACAUUGUUUGUGUGCGGAACUAUACUGUAAAACCCGUUUCCGUGUUGAAGAAUACGUAAUGCAACAAAACAUGUAUAUAGGGGCUUUUCUGAAAGGCGACAGUUUUUACCUUUCAUGAAAUGAAUGCAUAUUAAAGCAAAAAAUGUAACUAUUAUGAACGUUAAUGUUUCAUAUUACAUAUUUAAAUGCUAUGAUACGCAGCUAUCACUCUUUAGAGUAUUAUUACAUAAAUUCAAUUUUGUAACUAUAAAUUGUAAA